UUUCCUAUCAAUACUCGUUGCCAAUAGACCACAGAACAAGAACCUCUCCCCAUGUGUCUACAUGACAGGCAUGGCAGUUGUUGAUACCAUUUUUCUCCUCGAGGUGGCCUGGUUUUAUUCUACAUUUUAUGUUGGAGUUCUGGAUGGUGUUAUUGUUUCCUUUAAGCAGGCGGAGACUCUUUACCAAUUUCAUAUAUUUGUACUCUACACAAGCUCCAUGCUGUCGGGUCUUUUUCUGACCGGUAUGUCUUUGGAUCGUCUGGUCGCCGUGACGUCACCAAUGAAGGUCUCGCAUCUGUGCACGGCAGCACGCGCCAAGUCAAUCGUUUUAGUGACGUCAGUCGUUAUCACUGCAGUCAAUGUUCAUCUUUUUUAUGUAAUGGAAUACGUCUUUGACGCCAAAACAGGAACCCGCGUCAUCAACAUAGUUCACGAAAACAAGACAUUCGAAAGGUUUUCUUAUUAUUUCAACAUACUGUUUGGGACAGUUGUACCUUUUCUCACAAUAUUUGGCAGCAACAUCAUUAUCAUUAUCACACUUAACCGGGCAGCAAGUCAAAGAAGGAAGAUGCUUGAAAAUAGUCAACAAGACAAAUUCCAAAAGGGAACACAGCACUUAACGGUCAUGUUGAUAUUGGUAAGCGUUGCUUAUAUCGUGACUUCACUUCCCUACCGAACUUAUAUCCCGAUUUUGAAACUUGCAGGGUUUUAUGCAAUGAGAUCAAAUUACCUUCGGUUGAGUUAUGUCGUUGGUGCAUCUGCUACACUGAAUCUAUGGUUUUGUAAUUAUGGGGUAAAUUUUUACCUCUACAUUUGUGGCGGUGGGAGGCGUUAUCGCAAGGAUACUGCAGAGGUUCUAAAGCAGUGCUUAAAUUAUCCAUGGAGACACUAGAUAUUUUUCAAGCGCGCCACAGCCAAGACUGUGUUUAGUCAUUGGAGACAUAUAAGUAGAGGAAGCCGGACAGCUCAGCAUGUGAGGAAAUGUCUCGGAGGAGAAUUUUA